CUAACAAGACCAAACAGAGCAGCACAGGACAUCAGACAGAAAGCGUCUUUGACUCGUCGUCCUCCUCGAGUUCUUUCCUUCCAUAUCCAAGGCAUGGUUGGUGGUUGCUAUGUGCAAUUUGUCAUAAAUCCAAACCAAGGAAGCGACAUGUGAGCUGAUUCAAAUACCAUGGAUCCCGUGGAGAAGGAGAAGUUGGAAGCCUUCAUGGCCAGGGAGACGGAGCAGUGGGAGACCUUCAUAGCUAGGUUUGAGGCUAAUUGUCCUUUGGGUCUCCAACGCAGUCGACAACCACCACCACACCGUCCUAGACGCCAUCACCCUCCACAACCUCAUGCAUCAGCACCACCAACCUCCCCAAGUAAACACACACCAACUGUUCGACGGGGUGCCUCAAUCACCCCGCGGACGCUUCGUUUUCGACGCCAUCCUAGACACAUGACCAAGCCCAGCGGGGUUCUACUGCUGUGAGCCUGACUGCCGUGGAGGUGUCCCCGCUCGCCGUCAACUGCGUUGCAGAUGCCAUCAACCUCACCGACAGCACCACUGCCGCCGAUGGGAGUGGGUCGUGGCGGCACCGACCGAGCAUGUCUACUCCACUCCUGCAACCUCUUCGGCGCUGAGGGUGGGACAUGAAGCAGCCUCCUCCGUCCAUUCAACGACCACUGACGGACGCCACACGUUCGAUGUCGGGCCUUGACGCCAACGCUUGCAGCGACCAUGCCGUGGUUGUGUCCUUGCCCACCAUGACCGCAUUUGAGGCUGUUCCGACGCCUAUGGAGUCCGUUCUGGCCUCCUCGCUGAAGCCGUUCACCGCUACUGCUGCCUCUGCCUUGGCGUGCGCCACGUGUUCGAUGGUGGGCCUCAACGUCAAUGCCAGCGACAACCAUGCUGCCACCGCGUCCCUGCCCAUGAGAGGUGUGUCCAUCGUCGUUCUGACACCUGAAGAGCCCAUGUAAGGCAUGUUCAUGCUGGUGAACAACUACAGCGGCCCCAACUUCAUCCCCCAAUAUCCUGCUCGGCAUGGACACACACCAUCACGCCAAGGAUGAAGAUGAAUCAUUGACAGUGUUCUUGCCAUUGGCACUAGCCGUGAGGGAAGCCUCACUUGCCGCCAAACCACGUCAUGUGCCAUGGCCGUUCUUCAAUUGCGGUGAAGACGGUGUGCAGAUGAAGUGUCCGCAGCCGUCACCCUAGCUAAUGCCUAAUGCUCGUAAUAGGCAGUACGGCGGAGCUGAGGCCGGCAUCUUGGCCGUCAUUUCAGUGUUGUCCAUACUGAUCAGUCUAAAAGAAAUAAAGCUUGGCAGUUUACAACU